UCAGGAGAGGAGGUAUACUUAAUGAUAAGGCAUUAUAGUUUUAUAAUACGUUAUAAAACCAAAUCAUAAUAAUACAUAAAGUAUUAUACAAUUUUUUUAUGUGAGCAAUUGCAGCUGAAAUUUUUUUCUACAAUUUUAAUAAAAACUAUUUUUAAAAAUUAACCCACCAAAAGGUACAAAACGAGGUGGAAAAAGAAAGGCCACUGUUCAGCACCCUAAGCUGACUAAAUUUAUAGAAGAGCUCCAUCAAUACAGCGAAGAAAAUGAUCUUUAGAUGUCCAAUGAAAUUAUAAAUACAAGCUGAGCCUAAAACAUAUAUUUUCUUCCUACAUCAAUAUUUAUCUUGUUCUUGUUAAUGACCUACUGUGUCACUGGGAGAGUACAUAUAUAACAAAAUCUACCUUUGAAGUCACCCGCUAGAAAAUUUUUAUAAUCAGAAUUCCGGAAAAUAUUUGAAAACCAGAGUACCAGGACCACUAAUUUGAUCUUAAUUCAACUAAAUGCUGAUUUAAAAUACUUCAAAAUAUUUGAACAAUUUUGUGGGUGUCUUGGCAUUUUUAUGAAGCAUCUUUCUGACCAUAAAUGUUAUAUUCCAUAAAAGUUUAUUUAUCUAUAAAUAAUAAAUACCUCCAUAACCAUAGAACAAA